rnacentral:rRNA from 1 species
GACGUAGGGGGCAAGCGUUGUCCGGAAUUAUUGGGCGUAAAGGGCUCGUAGGCGGUCUGUCGCGUCGGGAGUGAAAACUCAGGGCUUAACCCUGAGCCUGCUUCCGAUACGGGCAGACUAGAGGUAUGCAGGGGAGAACGGAAUUCCUGGUGUAGCGGUGAAAUGCGCAGAUAUCAGGAGGAACACCGGUGGCGAAGGCGGUUCUCUGGGCAUUACCUGACGCUGAGGAGCGAAAGUGUGGGGAGCGAACAGG